ACUUGCCUACGGGGGGCAGCAGGGAAUCUUCCACAAUGGGCGAAAGCCUGAUGGAGCAACGCCGCGUGGGUGAAGAAGGUCUUCGGAUCGUAAAACCCUGUUGUUAGAGGAGAAAGUGCGUGAGAGUAACUGUUCACGUUUCGACGGUAUCUAACCAGAAAGCCACGGCUAACUACGUGCCAGCAGCCGCGGUAAUACGUAGGUGGCAAGCGUUAUCCGGAUUUAUUGGGCGUAAAGGGAACGCAGGCGGUCUUUUAAGUCUGAUGUGAAAGCCUUCGGCUUAACCGGAGCAGGGCAUUGGAAAG
rnacentral:rRNA from 1 species